AUCUUCAGCAAAACUGCAUCAAAUCCAUACCAAAAACCACUGUUAUAAAUUGCAGAUUUUGGUGCAGAUAUAGUGCAGAAAUGCACAGAAAUCUGCACGGAAAUUCAUGCGUAUCUUAUGUGCAAGAGG